UGGGUAAUAUUGCGCAAUUGGGGAAACCCUGACGCAGCGACGCCUCUUUCGGGAUGAAGUCCUUCUGGUUGUAAACCGCUUUUGUUUGGGAGCAAGCUUUCGGGUGAGUUUACCUUUCGUAUAAUCGCCGGCUAACUACGUUCCAGCAGCCGCCGUAAUACGUAGGGCGCAAGCGUUAUCCGGAAUUAUUGGGCGUAAAGAUCUUGUAGGCGGUUCGUCGCGUCUGGUGUGAAAGCCCAUCGCUUAACGGUGGGUUUGCGCCGGGUACGGGCGGGCUAGAGUGCAGUAGGGGAGACUGGAAUUCCCGGUGUAACGGUGGAAUGUGUAGAGAUCGGGAAGAAAACAAAUGGCGAAGGAAGGUCUCUGGGCUGUUACUGACGCUGAGAAGCGAAAGCGUGGGGAGCGAACAGG
rnacentral:rRNA from 1 species